ensembl:lncRNA
GUGGACAAUAGUCACAACCUAUUUCUUUGGGUGGUGGCUACUUUUUUUUUCCAGCUUGGCUAUACCAUAUGGUUCAUUAAAGGGCAUGUGAAUUUAAUUUCAGCAAAAACUGGGACACAAAAACUGCUUGUAUAGAAACCUUGUUCUUCUUUCGGCUACAAUUUUAAGGAGGUCGCCACAAAUCAUCUGCCUCCAAACAAAUCUGGUAAACACUUAAAUAGCUUAAAUAACGGGGGGGGGGGGGGGGGGGCUCACUAUCCUGUUGAAUAAGAGCACAGUCAUAAGGUAGUCAGUAUUAGCCGACAUGGAAAACGUUGUAUAGAAAUUACCAGUCAAAUUAAAUUAAAAAUUGCUUUUAAAGUUUGGCUGAUUUGCACAAAAAUGAAUUAUUUGACCAACUUUGCUUAGAAUGGCAGGAAACAGAUCUUUUGAUGAUGAUUUAAAAAAACCCCAAAUCAGAUUCAUGGUAGGGUAUUCCUUUGAAAGUACCAAAAUAUUCCAAUUGCUAUUUUUUUUUUUUUUGCUUUUAUUAUUGUAUUAUUGCUUUUAUUGUAAUUUAAGAUACAAUUUCGAGCUUUUCUGAAUAUAUGGACGCUAGAUAAUGGUUUCAUUUAUUUUCUAUUAAUCUGAAUAAUACAGUUUAUUUAUACCUUUUAUCUUUUGAGUUGAAGAGCUUUUUCCCCUAAAAUCGAAAUGAACAUUUCUGAGUAAACUGCUCAAUUGCUGCAUUCAUGGUUUGGGGGAAAGCCUCACUUUUGACCUCUUCUUAUAAUUUAAUGCAGGUUUAAAUUCUUGGUACAACUUGAGAUCCUUAAUUUAAGUACUAGGUACACCUCUAGAUACCCGUUUCCUUCUGACAGUGUAAUGAGUCACGGCUAGUUUCCUGUGUGCGGUGUGUACAGAGGUGGUCUCUCUGGCAGGAUCACAGCUAACACCGACUCUGGGAGCAUGUGGACCACGUGGAGGAGCCCUACAAAUUAAUUAGCAUUAGUGAACUUCACUAUCGGCUUGUUACCAAUCAGACAACAUUUUUAUUUGUUUGUCUGUUUCAUUUAUUCCAUUAAUCGCAAUUUUCUAGACACCUAAGCCGACUUUUUUUUUUUUUUAAACAAAAUGCGUUGGUUAAUCGUCGCUGUCUAGACUUAUCCUAGCUAGCUUAAGAGGUAGCUACAUGUUAGCACAAAAAUGCAAAAAACCAAAACGCCCUUCAUUUCGCAUAAAAUUUUGCCACUUUAUUCAUAGACUACAACUUAAUAAUCCUUCCAUUCCUUAGAAUGAAGGUUUAAUCGGCUUAACCUUAUUAAGAUGGCUAAUUCUGGAGUGAUUUCCGACACUGUGGCUAAUGUAGGUUAGCUUUAAAGUUACACUUACCAAAAUCUUCCUGUAGCAGGAGCAGAGGGUUCAUGGAGGAUUAUGUUUAUUUUACCCACUGGAGUUAAAGCCAGAAAUUAAAGUCGCA